UACGUAGGGCGCGAGCGUUGUCCGGAAUUACUGGGCGUAAAGCGCGCGCAGGCGGCUAUCCAAGUCAGUGGUGAAAGCCCGGAGCUCAACUCCGGAACUGCCAUUGAAACUGUUUAGCUUGAGGACGAGAGAGGUGAGUGGAAUUCCCAGUGUAGAGGUGAAAUUCGUAGAUAUUGGGAAGAACACCGGUGGCGAAGGCGGCUCACUGGCUCGUUUCUGACGCUCAGGCGCGACAGCGUGGGGAUCAAACAGG
rnacentral:rRNA from 1 species